CUGAUCCAUAUCAUGUUGGCACACGUCCUCACAGAAAUGGAAAUGCUGAGCCAGCAUUCUUCUCUGACUGUUUCACUUCACUUGGGAGAGGACCAAGGAAAUUUAGGUUGCUACAGGAAGAGUGAUAAAACGCUCAGCCCUUCUCCUCAACAGACUGUGCCCCCAGGGAGCUAUUUGGAGGACUGGAUACUUUUCAGUUGAAACCCAAGAACAUCAGUGGCUAUGGAAAAGCUUCCAAGAUAUGUGCAUGUGUGUAUAUGAGGAAGCUGAGAGACUUGGCUUAAGCCACAGAACUAGACGGUGGAUGACAAGCCUAGGACUCGGACUCUGCGACCUUUGCUUCUGUAUUCAUUCUACCUCCCUCUUACUUGGAAGAUUGUCUCCUGGGAAAGAAAAAGUCAUCUGUGAGAUCUCCCAAGGAAAGAUCCCGAUCAGUAUAAGCCGUUCAAUCUACGGCCCGCAGCAGGGCUGGAAACGAACAAGAAAAACUUCCCUCCCAGGCUCCACUCCAGCCCAGAAGGCGGCCUCAGAGCCUUCUGCAAUGCAGCCAUCGUGCAGUGCUUCACGAGAUAUGGACACGGAUGCCCUGAAGUCUCCUGGUCAGGCCUAACCUCUAGCCCAUUCCCCACCACAGGAGACAAUUGGUUUCUGGUUGCCUACAGCACCUUGAAUCUUACGGGCUAUUACCUCCUUCCCCUACUCAUCAUUAUGUGAAAUCUUGGCAAAGAUUAGUCCAAGUGCCCGCUUCUCAUAGGGAAGCUGAGGGGAUGGGCUCCUCCUUCGAGCUGCCCUCUUCUAAAGUAGGGUCAGGUAGAAGGAUGAUCAGAUUGUCUCUCCUGACUCUGAAAAGAGGCUUUCCCAGCACAUGCUGUCUACUGUGUCUCAGCCUCCAUCUUCCUACUUCUUGGCCUCUGGAGAUAAGAGACUGCCUGGAGAGCAGGGAGCUUUUCGUGUUUUACCAUACUUCCCAUGCUACUCAGAAGAAGAGCCAAGAUUGUAUUUCUUAGAGGCCUUUUAUUUCCUGGGUGCUAUCUGCCUGGCUUCAUGGAGGACGGAGAUGGUGUUGGAACUUGGAGGAUAUGGAAGGCUUUCUGGAUGGUUGCAAUGGGCUGAAUAAAGGUAUGGAGGCAGAAAAGCAAUGACUGUAGUUUGGAGUACAAUAUAUGCGUAAGAUGGGGUGGGAGAUAAAGUUGAGGCAUCAUAUUGGCAUCAGUGUUUGGAAGGUACUGAAUGGAAAAUUAAGGAGUUUAGAAAGCAGGACACGGAGAGCAUGGCCACUUCCAUGGUCAGCCCUCUCCUGGUCUUGCUCCGCUUCUCCCUCCUCAAGACCCUUCCCAGCGUACUUUACUCCUUGGCUGAGCUCUGAGAACCAGGCUGAGCUUAGAGAACUAGCUCCAUCCAGGAGCUCCAUGGAUGACCCCUGCGUUUCUGGAAGAAAGAAUGGACCAGACCUUCCAUUUCCACAAUGAGAAACCAGGAAAAGCCUUGUAAUUACUGCUGAGUGUGG
rnacentral:lncRNA from 1 species